CAUGAUUCCUUAUUUCCUUCUUUAGUUAAAAAAAAAAGAAAACUCUAAUACCUAAUCUCUCUCAACUCUCUCAACUACUGCAGCCGACAUCAUCAAGAUCCACCGCACCACGGCAAUCCGGCAUCCACCGCUCCACUGCACCGGCAUCAAGAUCCUCCCAUGUCCGCCUGCAUCCACCGCUGGCCAUCCACCACGCAUAGCACUCCGGCAGUUCAAAAUUUGCCGAUAUCAGAUCUGAAUCUAAAUUGAAGUUCGGUUUGAUUCGGAGUUGAAGAUUGGAACAAAUAACAGUAUGUGCAGCUGAAUGGUUUGGGUAUUUUGAAUAAGAACUGUUGAUUAAAAUCGAAGUCGGAUACUUUUAGUUCAUUUCGGAAACUAAAAACUGGAUUUUGUUGGAUCAGGCCCCUUUUUUAGGACUUUAAGGUUCCUGUAAUAGCAUAAACAAUGUGUGAAUCACAGUUUGAUUUUUUUUUAAUCACAGUUUGAUUUUUUAGUGUUC